UAAAAAUAGUGUGGACAAAAAACACGACACUUAGUGUAGUGUCUUUUUGGCUACACAAUUUGUGUACUUCAAGGCUACACUUGUGCGCUUUAAAGCCACACUUGUAAUUAUGAAAUUAAACUUCAUUAUAUGCGUAAAAAAAGCCACACUUUGUUGGAUUCUCGUAUCGAAUUAUUCGGAAAGGAGGCUAGAAUCAUGUUUUUAGCGACAUGUUUUUUUUUAUGAACCAUUUUCAGUUUUAUUAAAAAUUUUAGUGUAACUUUUAUUGCUGCAUGGUAAUUUUAAACACAUACAUAGUUAACUUUUUCAUAAAAAAAUUUUGGUUUGUAAUAUUUUAGUAAUAUCGUAUUAAAUAUGUUAAGCGAGGAAAAUAUCGAUUUUCAGUUGUUAAAAAUUAGAAGAUGCAACUUUGCUUGCAUUUAAGGCGCUCCCUUUCCUUAUGAUAGCACCUCCACAGAAGGGCAAGAAGAGUCCAAGAAUUUGGCUUUAUUUUAUAGAGAAAUGGAUGUACACCUCAGUCUUGAAAGCUCCCUUGAGUUAUUG